rnacentral:rRNA from 1 species
UACAGAGGGUGCGAGCGUUAAUCGGAAUUACUGGGCGUAAAGCGUGCGUAGGCGGCUAUCUAAGUCGGGUGUGAAAGCCCCGGGCUCAACCUGGGAACUGCAUUUGUGACUGCAUCGCUGGAGUGCGGCAGAGGGGGAUGGAAUUCCGCGUGUAGCAGUGAAAUGCGUAGAUAUGCGGAGGAACACCGAUGGCGAAGGCAAUCCCCUGGGCCUGCACUGACGCUCAUGCACGAAAGCGUGGGGAGCAAACAGG